CGCAUUCGAGCGGGAGAGUUCCGUGGCUGCCAGUCACGGACGCCGAAGGAGCAACACCUCUCCGUCAACCUCUCAGGCACCCGGACCGCGCGAGUAAA
rfam:Mycobacterium saskatchewanense strain DSM 44616 contig_46, whole genome shotgun sequence.